GGUCAUGAUUUAGGAAAAAAAAUCUAUUUGACAGUGAUCGCAUGCGUCAUACACAGCGCUCGCAUUCAAAUCCAAAAUGACGCGCAGAUGUACUCGCCCAUAAAUAGAUGUUCUGGGCAAAGAGUCCUCAUUGGACGAAGAUACCAUGGGUCCUCCGAUCAAAGUGCUUUUCGCUGUGUCGCUCGUUGUGCUCUUGGGCCAGUGUGGUGCACGAACAAAUGAUGAGGUAGAGGACAUUCAGGUUUCAUCAACUGAUAAAACCUGGGAGGAUAGUGUGAAGGAUGAUGUGCAAGAUGUUGUGACGGUUCCAAAAGAUGAGAAAAGAUCAGUAUCACUUCAAGUCCUUGAUUCGAGCAUCAAUGACAUUGUUGUUGGAACGGAACAGCACUUGGACAUCGAGCACAAUUACGUUAAGAAGAUUAGCGGAUGGGUCGCGCGAGCUUCCAAAGUUGAGAAAGUGAGAAAAAUUUUGAGGAAAUUCCUGCAAAUAAACAGGAGAGAUAUUGGUCAAAGCCGGAACACAGCGAGGGAAAUCGUUUGCAACAAAUAUCUGAACUUCAAGAGUACUACUAAGCUCGUCAAACCAUCAGAUGCCGACCUCAUUGAACCAUGUUUCGAGAACAAACUCGAACCAACGACGACCCGCCUGAAUAAAAUUCUCGGUGACCCGAAAAUGAGCUAUCGCCGAAUCCGACGCCAGCAGAGAGAACUCAUGAAGCAGAGUGAAGGACUGUCUACCUUGGAGCAAUGGAAGGGAUUCUAUGAGGAUAAAGUCAAGAAAGAAGCACUGGAAACCUACGAGAAUGAGUUAAAGGCCAUAAAGGAGGCAUCACUCAAGGCCCUGAAGACCCUCUACAACGCUUACAUCGUCUGGGAUAAACUGGACGUGGAUAUGAAAGACGGUCUCAAAUAUCCAAGCGACGCCGAUGAAAAAGUAGAACUGGUUCAAGCAGCAAUAAACACUGGGGCUCAAUUUGGUUGCGAGGCAAUGUUGGAGGCUCUCAGGGAGGCGGACAGAGCUGAAAAGAGGAAGAAGGCUGCUGCGCGAAGAGAGGCUGCCGCUGCUGCCCAAAGGGAAGCCGCCGUUGCUACCCAAAGGGCACCUGCCCAAGUCGAGAGUGAUGACUAAGCUUCAGGAAUGAAUGCGUUCCUUACCGAGAAAACCCGAUUUUAAGCGCAAACGCAUUUGGACCGCGUUUGGUAGAAAGGAAGCAAGCCACAUCAGCUAUCGUCAAAUGGACCGCGUUAAACAGAAAGGAACCAAGCCACAUCAAUUAUUGCCAAAUUUAACAGGGGAAUUUAAUUUUUUACGAGAGAACGUUUGUGCGGAUUCCUUUGAAAAUUUUAAGGAAUUUGCUUUGUAUUGUGGAGAAAAUUCAUAGAAAUUUGCACAAACAUCCGCACAACCGUUUCAUGUAAAAAAUUAAAUUGCCUGAUCAAAUUUGGCAAUAGCUGAUGUGGCUUGGUUCCUUUCUGUUUAACACGGUCCAAAUGUAACCGGGCAGUUUAAUUUUUUACAAGGGGACGUUCGAGCGGAUAUCCUAUAAAGUUUUAAGGAAUUUACCUUGUACUACGCAGAAAAUUCCCUGAAAUUUGCACACGAAAAAAUUCCGCACAACCGUCUUCGUGUAAGAAAUUAAAUUGCCCGAUUCGCCGAUAGCUGAUGUGGCUUGGUUCUUUCCUGCUUAACGCGGUCCAGUUGAGGCGUUGCGUGCCAGUGGCGCGACGUGAAUACUCGAUUAUCGAUAUCUUGCCAUUUGAAACUAUAGUAAAGAAUCGAUUACCAAGGUGUUCGCUGCGAACACCCUGAUAAUCGAUCUUUCCUCAUAGGUUUGAGUGGCGUAUCAAUCGAUAUAUCGCAAAGCACGCUACGCCACUGUUGCGUGCAUAAUGAGCAUCUCUCAGUUGUGGUGUUUCAGAAUCUCCGGUGUUAAUUUAUCCUUUUAGAGUGGACUAGACGGGCGAAUUUUCUGAGAUUUUAAAUUUAAAGAGUUGUAAAGUCGUGAAGAAUAUUCAGUAAAAGUCACAACGAAUCACAUACGAGUUACUUUAACCAUACCGGUUGAAGCGUUAGCGGAGAUUUUAAGACACCUAAACCAAGAAAUGCCCUUUCUGCACUCAGCACAUUUAAUUGGACGUGUUUCUGUCAAUCGGAAUUAUGUGCAUUAUGACGUGAGGCCUGUUGCAUGUAUUCUUACGGGUCUCAGGGCUCAUGCCUCAAUGCACAUAGUUCCGUUUGGCAGAAAUACGUCCAAUUGUGGCUGAACCUUAAUUCACGGUGAUUCAGCCACAACUAGUAGUUGUUGUGCGCAUUCAUUCGAUCCAAUAAGUAGCGGUCGGACCUAAAAAAGAGUGGUCUGGCCACAACAAUUUCUUUUUCGAAAAACAGCCAUAAUUUUACUGUUACAGAAUGUUGCAAACGUCGUAAACGUUAAAUUUAGAGGCUGUAAUUAUGCAAUGGUGUGUCUUUUUUAACUCCCUCAAGACGUAUAAAUUGUUUGGUUUGCGUUUAUGAGAAUAGACGAGUUUAUUUGAUGUUAAGAGUUUGGCCUGCGAAGGGUUGGACAAAUUAGUUUUGCCGAGGAAGUUUCGGUGUGGAAUAAAGCAGAUAACCUGGAAUAAUAUAAUUUAAGAACGAAAAAGUUGGCCUGUGAGAGGAAAUAUGUGACAUGGUUUGCCAAGGUAAGAUACGUAGUAUCAAUGAACUCUGCUUUAAAUUAAAAAUAAAUUCUCAUUGCAAUAAUGAAACCAGUUUUGCAAAGAAAGAAACUAGCUGAAGUCGGGUUUUCUUGGCAGCUUAUUUAUCUCCAGAAUUUUAAAGAAAUUGACAGAAAUGCAAAGGCUGUCUACAUCACGGACCACGUCAUUUUAAAAGAAGUAAAGAGCCUUAUAAAUUAGCAUAACUGAUAUUAUUUUGUGUUUAUAAGCGUUGUGUGUGUGUGUGUUAGCGUGUUUUUGCAACUUAAUAUUUUUCAUGAAUUCGCAAUUUUACAAAUAAAUGUCAAAUACACGUUUUGCAAUGUACCUAAAAUAUAGUAAUUCAAUUCCCAUGUGUAUAGUGAUCAGCGAGAUUACAAGGUUAAGCGGCUACACAUUGAGACGGAAUACUCUUGGAUUUGCUACUUAACAAAUGUUGCUUCUCUUAAGAAAUUUGUUCUUAAAAAAUGAUAUUACUUCCCCUAAGAGUAGAUCCAUGUAGAAAAUAUUAAUGGCCGUGGUAAAAUUAUUUUUUGAUGGAAAAUCAACCAAGAUAUCCUCUUGAUUUUUCCUUUGAAUAGUUUUGAAUUUUCAAAGAAAAUUCACAGAGAAUUUCACAAAAAUCUCGCGAUUAAUUGCAUUUUGAAAAAAAUUAAAUAUGAACGGAGAUGUGCAACGUCUCGGUCAGACAACUUCAGCUAUUACUUUGCGAGACGUACUGUACUUAUUCAUAAAAGUCUUUACUAAAUUAAAACCUUACAUUAUUCAAGGAGCGUGGUGGAGAAACAAUAAGGCCAAUGUUUUCCAGAGGAAUGACAUGGUUUUUAUGAGUUAAAUUUACAACUAAAAUUAAUUAAAAUAGACAGCGCAUAUACAAGGGUUUAAAUUGAGGAAUCCUCAAGUUAUCCUUCAUGUUAACAGGAAGGCUCACUUUUUAAAAUAAAUUUGAUACAUGAUUCCUUCUCGUUAAAUAAUAAUAAGUUAAUUCCUUUAAAAUCAACACUGAAAAUUAUCUAUAUAAACAACAUACCACUUAAAAUGAGUUUGAAAACAUCUUCGCCGACUGAGAAAAUAAUGCUAAUGUUUUUGGAAUGACUAAACGAUUAAUAAUUUCUGAUCCAUGAACUUAGUGGAAGAUUAGUAGCUUGACAAAACGAACAACGGAAACUGAGUACAAUUGAUGCAAGAAUUACUCACAGAUAAGAAGAGACUGAAUUUGGUGAAAUUAGACAUAAUUUACUGCGAGGCAACGCAAUCUACGAGGGUUGUCCAGGAAGUAAGUUUACCUGUUCAAUAUCUCCUAAAUUAAGAUAGGCAGAGAAAAUCUGUAAAAAGCGUUAAAAAGCCAUUACUCUCGGCUCUAUGUAUAAAGUGCUAUAGAUUUUUAAAUUUGGCUGAAUAAAACUCUAGAAAUGUGGGUUUUUCUGAACCCACCUCCUCUCCGCACGGGUCUAAAAUUUUACGGAGCUUCAUUCGCAAGUGAGCCGCUGUAUGUCUAUCGCUCAUGGCAAAAAAGUGGCUUAGAGGUGAUUGAAACACAUGUAAAACAUAAGGAGGGACACAUUUUCCAACAAGGAAAUAGCAAGAUUGACCAUGUUUACGUUGAUUAUUGGUGGGUUUGGACUGCAGUACAUGGAAAUGUUAAGCUACGUUCAGUCAACUCGUGGAGAUUAGCGGCUCUGGUGCUUGCACUAGAGCUGCUAUUCCGGACGGUCCCAGCUGGGGAGUAUCAAUGCAGCAUGUUACAUUGUAGAGACCGCGCGUUGGUUGAUGGGAAUCGGCGCCAUUUUCGGCUAUGUUCCUUGUCAUGACUUUAUUUUAUUGCAUACUGUUUUAUUGUUAGUCAAUGCUAUGUUGUGUAUUGUAUUUUUGUAAUCAUGGUAAUACAGUCAACAAUUCAAAACUUGUCUGUGCUUUUAUCUCGUGAUGGAAAAAAUGUACUUUACGUUCAAAAUUUGAAAAUUUGAAUUUUGAAGUUUUCGCGGUUAAGGAAGCUUUAACCACUGGGUUGGAGCUUCCUAGUCAUAUUACUCGAUAUCAGCUGAUAGCAAACAAAGGUUACCAAGGAAACCGUAAACGUCUAACAACUAUCGUAGCCAUCGGGGCGAUUAUUGAAAUGAUAUCGACUGUAUGUCGCCGCUUACGACAGGACAUAGCCCUAUCUUAACUGUGUAAUAUAUCGCAAUUCGAUAUUGUUUUGAUUUUUAAAAGGAGCAAUUCAUUCAUACAGUUUCGAUUAGUUUUGGCAAACGGGCCCUUAACCUACGGCACUCGGCUCAUGGGAAUUUUUUAACCUUACUAAAUUUUGCCAACAUGCUUUUCAAUUCAGUCUACAACAUUUCAUUCCGACGUGGCAAUAAUGAUUUAUAAUGCCCCUAAUCCAUUAAAAUGAAUUACAAUAGUAAUGCAGCAUUAU
rnacentral:lncRNA from 1 species